rnacentral:rRNA from 1 species
UACGUAGGGUCCGAGCGUUGUCCGGAGUGACUGGGCGUAAAGCGCGCGCAGGCGGCCUGUUAGGCGCGACGUGAAAGCCCCGGGCUCAACCCGGGAGGGUCGUCGCGAACCGACGGGCUUGAGGCCGGUGGAGGUGGGUGGAACUCCUGGUGGAGUGGUGAAAUGCGUAGAGAUCAGGAAGAACACCCGUGGCGAAGGCGGCCCACUGGGCCGGUGCUGACGCUGAGGCGCGAAGGCGUGGGGAGCGAACGGG